rnacentral:rRNA from 1 species
AGAGUUUGAUCCUGGCUCAGGACGAACGCUGGCGGCGCGCUUAACACAUGCAAGUCGAGCGAGAACCAGGGCUUCGGCCCUGGGGAAAGCGGCGAACGGGUGAGUAACACGUGAGUAAUCCACCCUCGGUACCGGGAUAGCCCGGGGAAACCCGGAUUAAUACCGGAUGGCCCGACAGCCUCUCGAGGCGGUCGGAAAAGAUAGCUUCGGCCUUCGACCGAGGACGAGCUCGCGGCGGAUUAGCUUGUUGGCGGGGUAACGGCCCACCAAGGCGACGAUCCGUAGCUGGUCUGAGAGGACGAUCAGCCACACUGGGACUGAGACACGGCCCAGACUCCUACGGGAGGCAGCAGUGGGGAAUCUUGCGCAAUGGGCGAAAGCCUGACGCAGCGACGCCGCGUGCGGGAAGAAGGCCUUCGGGUUGUAAACCGCUUUCAGGAGGGACGAAGCCACUCGGGUUAAUAGCCCAGAGGGUGACGGUACCUCCAGAAGAAGCCCCGGCUAACUACGUGCCAGCCGCCGCGGUAAUAC